CCCAAACCAAUAAAGUUUUCUUUAUUGGGGUUGCGGACAUAUCAUAACGAAGAGGUAUCGUAAUUGAAGAGGUUUGGAAAGACCCACCACAGAAGGUAAUAGUCCUGUAUGUUAAACGAGAAGACUUCAGAUAUGAUCCAGAGUACCACGGGACACGUGAAACCCUGUGGGAAGCAGGAGGGACCACCCUCCAAGGCUAAAUACUACCUAGUGACCGAUAGCGGAUAGUACCGUGAGGGAAAGGUGAAAAGAACCCCGGGAGGGGAGUGAAAUAGAACCUGAAACCCUGCACUUACAAGCUGUGGAAGCACAUUUCUUGUGUGACCGCGUACUUUUUGUAGAACGGGCCAA
rnacentral:rRNA from 1 species